UCGUUGUCGGAAUCAGAUCUCAUUGCAUAUGUGCUUAAUGGUCUCCCAGAUGAAUAUGACUCUUUCAUUACUUCAAUCGAGACACGAAUUGAACCUGUUACUUUAGAUGAAUUACAUGCUCUUCUCCUCAGCCGUGAGU
rnacentral:snoRNA from 1 species